UACGAAGGGGGCUAGCGUUGCUCGGAUUGACUGGGCGUAAAGGGCGCGUAGGCGGUUUGCAUAGUCAGACGUGAAAUUCCUGGGCUUAACCUGGGGGGCUGCGUUUGAUACAUGCAGGCUUGAGUUCGGAAGAGGGUCGUGGAAUUCCCAGUGUAGAGGUGAAAUUCGUAGAUAUUGGGAAGAACACCGGUGGCGAAGGCGGCGACCUGGUCCGAUACUGACGCUGAGGCGCGAAAGCGUGGGGAGCGAACAGG
rnacentral:rRNA from 1 species